AGCAGUAGUAAUCCUGUUCAGUACGAGAAGAGCUGUUGGUGUGAACAUUUAGUGUCUGUGAGGAGCCUAUGGUGUAAAGCUACCAUUUUUUGGACUAUGCCUGAACGCCUCAAAGUCAGAAUCAACCCUAUUAUGUU
rnacentral:ncRNA from 1 species